rnacentral:misc_RNA from 1 species
CUGAACUAUCGAAACAGCCGGAUCCACUACCAAAAUCAAAAUACGAAAUUACCUCUCCGGGAGGUAGCUGGUAGCUGGCUAGCUGCUACUCUUGCUAGCCAAAGUAAGAAUCAAAGCUCGAAAUCGGAGGGAAAAAUGUCGCAGUUCUGGAAACCGGGCGCCGAGAAGCCUCGCAUCCUUGACGACGAGGAAGGCGGUGUCCUUUUCCUCGCCUCCUCUAUCUCAUCCUCUUCAUCUGGAUAUGGAUAUGCUAGCAUUGAAAAGCAGAGGCUGAGAUUGCCUGUGUACAAGUACAGAACAGCGAUUCUGUAUCUGGUGGAGACUCAUGCCACUACUGUUAUCGUUGGCGAGACCGGUAGCGGCAAAACCACACAGAUUCCUCAGUAUCUUAAGGAGGCAGGUUGGGCUGAUGGUGGGCGUGUCAUAGCUUGCACCCAACCAAGAAGAUUGGCAGUCCAGGCAGUUGCUUCAAGGGUGGCUGAAGAGAUGGGGGUCAAGCUUGGAGAGGAAGUUGGCUACACAAUUCGAUUUGAGGAUCUUGCAAAUUCAGGUGUCACAAUGAUAAAAUUUCUCACUGAUGGGGUUUUGCUUAGAGAAAUGAUGGAUGAUCCACUUUUGACCAAGUAUAGUGUCAUAAUGGUAGAUGAGGCUCAUGAAAGGUCUAUUUCGACUGACAUUUUACUGGGCCUGCUGAAAAAGAUCCAGCGCCGUCGACCUGAGCUGCGCUUGAUUAUUUCAUCUGCUACAAUUGAAGCGAAAUCUAUGUCUGCUUUCUUUCAGACCAGCAAAAGGCGUCGAGGACUUGAAGCAGAUGAGCUUGGUCCAAGGAAAGAUCCUGCAAUUCUGUCAGUUGAGGGUAGAGGGUUUAAUGUACAAAUUCAUUAUGUUGAGGAACCCGUUGCAGAUUAUGUUCGCGCUGCUGUUUCUACAGUAUUGUCAAUUCAUGAUCAGGAACCUCCGGGUGAUAGUUUGGUAUUUCUUACUGGUCAAGAUGAUAUAGAUGCCGCUGUUCAGUUGCUUACUGAAGAAGCUCAAGCCAAUGGAAAGAAGAACUCUUCAGGAUUGAUUGUUCUGCCUUUGUACUCUGGUCUCUCACGUAUGGAGCAGGAUCUGGUGUUUUCUCCCACCCCUAGAGGGAAGAGGAAAGUAGUGAUAUCGACCAAUAUUGCUGAGACAUCUUUGACUUUGGAGGGAAUUGUCUACGUUGUUGAUAGCGGAUUCUCAAAACAGCGGUUCUACAAUCCGAUCUCAGAUGUUGAAAAUCUGGUAGUGGCACCAAUAUCCAAGGCAUCUGCUAGACAAAGGGCUGGUAGGGCAGGAAGAAUUCGACCUGGGAAGUGUUACAGGUUAUAUACAGAAGAAUACUUUAUCAAUGAAAUGCCAGCUCAGGGGAUCCCUGAGAUGCAGAGGUCAAAUCUUGUUUCCUGUGUGAUUCAGUUAAAAGCUUUGGGCAUAGACAAUAUAUUGGGCUUUGAUUGGCCAGCAUCUCCAGCUCCUGAAGCAAUGAUUCGAGCACUUGAAGUCCUUUAUUCACUAGGAGUCCUUGAUGAUGAUGCUAAACUUACUUCACCAGUUGGAUUUCAAGCAGCAGAGAUUCCACUAGACCCAAUGAUUGCAAAAAUGAUGUUAUCUUCAAGCCAACUUGGAUGUUCAGAGGAAAUCAUUACCAUUGCUGCUGUUCUCUCCAUCCAGUCUAUUUGGGUUUCUACCAAAGCACAAAAGGAACUAGAUGAAGCUAAGUUGAGAUUUGCAGCUGUUGAGGGCGAUCAUGUUACUUUCCUAAAUGUUUACCAAGGGUUUCUUCGAUCUGGAAAAUCUUCACAGUGGUGUCAUAAGAACUUUGUCAAUUACCAUGCUAUGAAAAAGGUCAUUGAAAUUAGAGAACAGCUGAGGAGAAUAGCACUGAGGAUAGGCAUAGUCUUAAAAUCAUGUGAAAGAGAUAUGCUGGUUGUAAGAAAGGCUGUAACUGCUGGGUUUUUUGCAAAUGCAUGUAAUUUAGAAGCAUACAGUCAUAACGGGAUGUACAAGACUGUUAGAGGCUCUCAAGAGGUCUAUAUUCAUCCUUCAUCUGUGUUGUUCAGAGUAAAUCCAAAGUGGGUUAUUUACCAGUCUCUAGUCUCCACUGAUCGACAAUACAUGCGAAAUGUAAUAACCAUCGAUCCUUCUUGGCUAACAGAGGCUGCGCCACAUUUUUUCCAGCAUCAACGACCAGAUCCCAUUGGUCGCUGACUACUUAUUUAUUAAGUGCAUAUGAACUUGAUAACAGCUUGGCGUGGUUGUGAUCAUGAUAAUAGAAAUUGUGUACCAUUAUUUUAUUAGAAAAAAUUUCUUGUUAGUAAUCAUUUUUUUUGUCUAUUAUUUUCUCUCGAUGUAAAUGGGGAUUUCUGGCUCAUUACAUGAUCUAUUGUGGAGAGUUCCCUGCAUGUUGUACCUUGAUUUAUAAGCUGAUUGUAUUUAUACACUCAUGCUUCGGUUUCAUUUUGGUUUAGAAUUGGAAUUAAAAACUGG